rnacentral:lncRNA from 1 species
UGGAGAGAGGGAACAAGCUGGGGACAGAUGAACAAUGGAGAUGGAUGGACAAUUCGGGGAAGGCUGGACAGGUCAUAAAGGAAGGCAGGACCGGGUGUCCAAAGGCAGGGAGGGAGGGGAACCACCCUUUGGCCAGAGCCCCAAACCCCAGGCCCUGACCCCUCACCCGCCACUGGAUGUCCCCCCGGAAGAGUUCACUCUGAGCGAUGUCCACGCGGUUCCAAGCCACAGCCAAACGCAGCUCGUCCAGGUGGAGGCAGAGGACGAGGGCUGAGCAUACAUGCUCACUGCUCCACACAGCGCCUGGUGCACCCCAGAAGCCUAAGGAGUGAACCCCAUCCAUCCUCUGCUACCUGAAAGGCCAUGUGGCCAGCGCCUGAGUCCCCAGAGACUCACAGCCCCACCCCUGAACCACAGCUUACAGAGCUGCUGCGCUUUCUCCUGGGAGCCUGCUGGGUUAACUUCUGAAAAGCAAACCGGAUUUGCCCACUGGCUGUCACCCUCCGUUUGAAGAUGUGUCCCCAAGGAGACAGAAUCACACAAGAGCCCCCCUUCAUGGGGUCCCCACUGAGGACCAGGCACUGCCACUGGGGCCCACGAUGCUCCUGCUAGCAGAAAAAAACAAGCCUUAAGCCCAGAAAAAUUGGGCUGCCAAAGUGCCCAGCCGGAAG